rnacentral:lncRNA from 1 species
GUCUGAUCCCAAAGCUUGGGUCCUCAUUGUGCACAGCUGAAUGGGCUUUGAAACUAACCCAACAAUCCACUGUUGGUCAGAAGACAGGGCAGUUGGAGACACUGGACUUGGUGCAGCACUGGUGGCACACGGCACGUAGUCGGUCUGCACUGAGGAACAAAGCGCCUCUGAUGGCUUCCCUGACCCUCCACCGGUUCAUGCCCAUUCCUCCAUCAUCUUCAGGUGCCUUUCUCCUAGGAGUUCUUCCAGAAAGCACCACAGGAUCAUCCUUCAGUGAGGGCUUCAAUCUCCUGAUCCAUCAGAGGACGACCGUGGGGACUAAAUAAGAGAAUGGUCGUGUGCCGCAUGGUGACUGCAGUUAUCCACAUGGGACUGCAUACUUGAACGUGUUUAGGAGAAUAAAAAAAGUUCUCAUCAUAAGAAAAAGAAAAAAA